CAUUAGUGCCCAUCCAUACCUGUGCCAGGACAGUGCUGUCAGCAAGAAAGAUGACUGAGGAGAAGAGCUACCCUCUGCUACCUUGACAGAUGCUGACCCUUCACCUUCACCUCAGGAUGAGAGUCCCUGGUGGCCAUGCAGAUCAACCAACGGCCUAUCUAUCCUCAAGAAUAGAUGCAAAGUAGGCCUCAUCCUUAGUGAGUCUCCUCUAUCUGCCAGAACAUGCGAGCGGCCGUGCAGACGUGCAGUGCAGUGUGGUCAUCAAGCUGGAACUGAUUCACUUCAAGCCCUGAGACUGGUACCUGGUGAUUAGCCCAUGGUUGUGAUAUGGUAACUACCAUCAGCUAUGAUGGCAGAUGCAUUCUGUAGUCUGCCUUACCGAAACUCAAGCACACUGAAGUCUUCAUCCUUAGGUUGAGAAUAACAAUAGCGGAGCCACUGUAACCUGAGGGGAAGAUACAAGUAUGAACAAGUUUUGACUCUGACACAAAAUCAUGGUCAGUGUCAUCAGAAGAGAUCAUUUUUAAACUGAAGGUAUCAGAAGGAGUCACGAACUCUGUAUUAUCUCUAACAACAGAAGAACUUGGACUGAAAGUUGAAAGCCCUGCUUUCUCGCCUGUAAAGAAGGAAGCCCUCAAAACGCAAGUCUUCUGUACAGAAUGAAAGGACUGGUUUCUGUGCCUGUGGAGUCCAACCACCUCUGGACUCCUUGUUUAGAUGCCUGUGAAGACGGUUUGUCUGAGCCGCCCUUUCCGACAGCCUCUGCGUGCAAGAAGUGCUUCUGCAGGGGCAGGAACAGAGCCCAGCAAUCAAAGGCAGCUCUUCUAAAUCGACAAAAGCCUGCCUCUCU